UUUUUUUAGUUAAUUUGAAGUAGGGCCUGCCCAGUGAUUAUUUUAACGGCUGCAGUAUUUUGACUGUACUAAGGUAGCAUAAUCAUUUGUUUUUUAAUUGAAUACUGGUAUGAACGGUUUUACAAAUAAUUUGUUUUAUAGUUUAAUUAUGGUAAAUUAUAUUUUAUAUAAAAAUAUAUAAAUAAAUCAAAGGGACGAUAAGACCCUAAAAGCUUUUUUAUUGUGGGUUUAUUUAUUAUUAAAAUCAUAAUAAAUUUAGUUGGGGUAACGUAAAUAUAAAUAUUAUUUUAUUUUUUUACAUUGUUAUAUGGUUAUUAGGUCUUUUUUAUUAAGAUAAAUAGUAAUAGUUACUUUAGGGAUAACAGCGUAAUAAUUUUAGAAAGGCCUUAUUAAUAAAAUUGAUUACGACCUCGAUGUUGAAUUAAAAGAUCUAUUUAUUGUAGCAGGUAAAUAAGAGGGUUUGUUCAACCUUUAAUUUUUUACAUGAUUUGAGUUCAGAUCGGUUUAAG
rnacentral:rRNA from 1 species